AACAAGGAUUCCCCUAGUAACUGCGAGUGAAGCGGGAAAAGCUCAAAUUUAAAAUCUGGCGGUCUCUGGCCGUCCGAGUUGUAAUCUAGAGAAGUAAUGCCCGUGCUGGACCGUGUAUAAGUCUCUUGGGAUGGGGCGUCAUAGAGGGUGAGAAUCCCGUCUUUGACACGGACUACCAGUGCAUUGUGGUAUGCUCUCAAAGAGUCGAGUUGUUUGGGAAUGCAUCUCAAAAUGGGUGGUAAAUUCCAUCUAAAGCUAAAUAUUGGCGAGAGACCGAUAGCGAACAAGUACCGUGAGGGAAAGAUGAAAAGAACUUUGGAAAGAGAGUUAAACAGUACGUGAAAUUGCUGAAAGGGAAACGCUUGAAGUCAGUCGCGUUGGCCGGGGAUCAGCCUUGCUUUUGCAUGGUGUACUUUCUGGUUGACGGGUCAGCAUCAAUUUUGACCGCUGGAAAAAGACCUGGGGAAUGUGGCAGCUUCGGCUGUGUUAUAGCCCCUAGUCGCAUACAGUGGUUGGGAUUGAGGAACUCAGCAC
rnacentral:rRNA from 1 species